rnacentral:rRNA from 1 species
UACGUAGGGUGCAAGCGUUGUCCGGAAUUAUUGGGCGUAAAGAGCUCGUAGGCGGCUUGUCGCGUCGAAUGUGAAAUCUCAGGGCUCAACUCUGACAUUGCAUUCGAUACGGGCAGGCUAGAGUUCGGUAGGGGAGACUGGAAUUCCUGGUGUAGCGGUGAAAUGCGCAGAUAUCAGGAGGAACACCGGUGGCGAAGGCGGCUUCCUGGACCGACACUGACGCUGAGGCGCGAAAGCCAGGGGAGCAAACGGG